CCUACGGGAGGCAGCAGUGAGGAAUAUUGGUCAAUGGGCGUAAGCCUGAACCAGCCAAGUCGCGUGAGGGAUGAAGGUUCUAUGGAUCGUAAACCUCUUUUAUAAGGGAAUAAAGUGUGGGACGUGUCCGAUUUUGUAUGUACCUUAUGAAUAAGGAUCGGCUAACUCCGUGCCAGCAGCCGCGGUAAUACGGAGGAUCCGAGCGUUAUCCGGAUUUAUUGGGUUUAAAGUGUGCGUAGGCGGCCUUUUUAGUCAGCGGUGAAAGUCUGUGGCGCAACCAUAGAAUUGUCGUUGAAACCGGGGGGCUUGAGUAUGUUUGCGGCAGUCCGACUUCGUGGUGUAGCCGUUA
rnacentral:rRNA from 1 species